rfam:Brachypodium distachyon strain Bd21 chromosome 1, whole genome shotgun sequence.
CUCCUGCUCCCUCCGUCCACCGAAGAAUGUCUCAAUUUCGAUUAAAUUUGAAUGCAUCUAUACACUAAGUGAUGUAUACAUUCAAAUUUUGACAAACUUGAGACAUCUUUUGUUGGACGGAGGGAGUACCGA